ensembl:lncRNA
ACGGGCAUCGCAGUCCUGUGGGCUGUAGGAUAGGCACUGGGCAUGCAGAAAAAGGAUGGGCAAGGGGAAACCCAGCGCUGAGCACUGCAGCAGUGUUUCUCCCAUUGCAAACAGUUCCCCCCAAGCAGUUCUGCCUCCCCCAGCCCUGAUCUGCAGAGUUGAAGGAAUCCAACAAAUCUUUAGAACGAGAUGCUUCCCUUGCCCAGCCCGCUCUUCCUUCAGCCCUUAUCUGCCCUUACCUGUCUCCACUAGGUCGCUUUAAAUGUCCCAGACACUUCCUUCCUUUGUUUGUCUUGGCCAGAAAGGGAAAUGUCUUGUGUGUCAAAGGUUUAGUGCAAAUUCCUGUCCAAGCUUUUUAGUACCUCUGGCCCCAGUAAAUAAAUCAAACUUCUGUUCAUGGUGAGGGAUUUGCACCAUUGGAUGCUCUCUCUGUGUUCUCCCUUCCCUGCCUGCGCUCAGGAUGGAGCAGCUCGGAGGAAUCUCCGUCCUCCUGUUUUCGUGGGAGGAAUUUGUCAUUUUUGGAGCAGUUUAUGGUGGGGUUGGUGAGGCUGCUCGGAGGGAGCUGGGGCCGUUGGUUGAAAGGCAGCAGGGGGAGCAUCGUUCUGAGCAGCUCUGAUGGGACCCAGCACUUGUCUUAAACGGGCACAGCAAAGCCAGGGGCAAAAGAGACUUUUGUCAGCCUUCCUAACGAGGCAGAAUUGCCUCACUUCCUCAGAUAUGGAAAUGCCUCUUUGUUAAAGCAAGGCCCCGUCCCUUAUCUCUGGGUUUGGACAGCUCUGCUUUUGGCACUUUGCUGUGUGAAAGGACUCCACGCACCUCAACGUGCACACAAAGCCAGGAUCCAACGGGGGAAAAGUUUGCAACUCAGGAUUGGCUCCGAGCAGAGCAGGAGUGACCCCAUAUGGGGACACUGCAGGGCUCCUUCAGGACGGAGCUGCCUGGAACACCUCUGUAUUUGGGGAGAAACCCACAGAAGUCUGAUGGAUCCCCCCCAAGUUCCCUUUCGUUCUGUUGAAUGUGAAUGUUGCUGCUUCCAUUUUGAGGAUAAAUGGGCAUUUUCCCAUGGAACAGCCAAACUGAACUUCUGCCUCUGUAGACCUGGGCUGUUCCUGGUCUCACAACGACCUGCUUAACCAGGAGUUGGUUUUUGGAGGUGGGAGGAGGUCCAUCGUACUCCCUCUUUUCCACCAUUGUUGUUCCAAUGGCAUCAAAGGAGUAAGCACGCACGGGCUGGAAAUAGCCAGGACAGGUCAGUGGUGGUUCUCCAACCCAAAAACCAAAACCCAUCUCGUCAUCAAAGAACCAUAGGAUGGUUGGGUUGGAAGGG